GAUAAUCAAAAGGGAGAUUAUUGCUCAGUCAGUUACAGAUCGAACUCCUUUUUCCACUCAUCCUCCACUUCUCACUACUGCACUUGAUUAAUCUAAA
ensembl:misc_RNA Y_RNA Y RNA